UUGGAGGCAAGUCUGGUGCCAGCAGCCGCGGUAAUUCCAGCUCCAAUAGCGUAUAUUAAAGUUGUUGCAGUUAAAAAGCUCGUAGUUGAAUUUCGGGGUUAGUAGGUUGGUCAUGCCUCUGGUAUGUACUGGUCUCACUGAUUCCUCCUUCCUUAUGAACCGUAAUGCCAUUAAUUUGGUGUUGCGGGGAAUUUGGACUGUUACUUUGAAAAAAUUGAGUGUUUAAAGCAAGCUAACGCUUGAAUACAUUAGCAUGGAAUAAUGAAACAGGACG
rnacentral:rRNA from 1 species